CCUUUACUUGCCAUUACCACCACCAUGGCAGACCCUGGGGACCAGUUCAGUGAUACUCCUCUUAACUCUCCUGUACAUGCAGCAAGCAGAACUUGAGCCAGAUCAGAUUCCAACCGAACCAUUAGUACCUGGCACUCUGGAUCGCCAAAUCGUACAUUGUACUCAAUUAACUUAGGCAAGCCAGACUUCUUCUCUAUCAUUAACCCAGCAUAUAAAACUCCAACGAACUUACAACCCUCUGCAGCCAUUCCUUUCACUGUUGGGAGAAUUAUAGUUUCCAUAACUACUGACUGAAGUUCUUUUGUUAACACUGGUGCAGGAGAGUACGCCCCCAUACCACCGGUAUUAGGCCCUGUAUCGCCAUCUCCAACACGCUUAUGGUCCUGAGCAGAUUCUAAAGGAAUAGCAGUCUCUCCAUCCACCAGUGCAAAGAAAGAUGCUUCUUCUCCUUCCAGAUAUUCCUCAACAAUGACACGGCAACCUGCAGAACCAAAAACACCUUUCACAAGCAUUGAAUCCACAGCUUGAUAUGCCUCCUCCAACGUCAUAGCAACAAUAACCCCUUUCCCAGCAGCCAAUCCAUCUGCUUUGAUAACUAUAGGAGCUCCCUGGUCCUGAAUAUAUUGCUUUGCAGCAGAUGGAUCUGUAAAUGUUUGGUACUUUGCAGUAGGAAUUCCAUAUUUGUCACACAAGCUCUUCAUAAAGUUCUUUGAGCCUUCCAAAGCUGAAGCCUCUGCAGAUGGGCCAAAAGUAAGGAUUCCAGCCUUCCCUAGAUCAUUUGCAAGUCCAGCAACUAGAGGUGCCUCUGGUCCAACAACAACCAAUCCCACAUUCCAUUUGCGGCAGAAAGAGAUCACAGCUGAGCUAUCAGAGAUGUCAAGGUCUGGAAUACAAGUAGCAUUCCCAGAGUUGGAAAUACCCGCAUUGCCAGGAGCACAAAAGACAGCAUCACAUGAAGACGAUCGUUGCAAGGCAUAGCAAAGUGCAUGUUCUCUUCCCCCACCACCAAUAACCAACACAACCACCCUUUCUUCAGAAGCACCGUUG
rnacentral:misc_RNA from 1 species